AUCCAGAUGACGAGUCCCAAUAAGGACGAAAUGCGCAUUCAGGAU
rfam:Trichobilharzia regenti genome assembly, scaffold: TRE_contig0019051